rnacentral:rRNA from 1 species
GACGAACGCUGGCGGGGUGCUUAACACAUGCAAGUCGAACGGAAAGGCCCUGCUUUUGUGGGGUGCUCGAGUGGCGAACGGGUGAGUAACACGUGAGUAACCUGCCCUUGACUUUGGGAUAACUUCAGGAAACUGGGGCUAAUACCGGAUAGGAGCUCCUGCUGCAUGGUGGGGGUUGGAAAGUUUCGGCGGUUGGGGAUGGACUCGCGGCUUAUCAGCUUGUUGGUGGGGCAGUGGCUUACCAAGGCUUUGACGGGUAGCCGGCCUGAGAGGGUGACCGGCCACAUUGGGACUGAGAUACGGCCCAGACUCCUACGGGAGGCAGCAGUGGGGAAUAUUGCACAAUGGGCGGAAGCCUGAUGCAGCAACGCCGCGUGCGGGAUGACGGCCUUCGGGUUGUAAACCGCUUUCGCCUGUGACGAAGCGUGAGUGACGGUAAUGGGUAAAGAAGCACCGGCUAACUACGUG